rnacentral:rRNA from 1 species
UACGUAGGAUCCAAGCGUUGUCCGGAUUUAUUGGGUUUAAAGGGUGCGUAGGCGGCCUGUUAAGUCAGUGUUGAAAGUUAAGAGCUCAACUCUUAAAGUGGCAUUGAUACUGAUAGGCUUGAGUAUAGAUGAAGUGGGCGGAAUGUGUCAUGUAGCGGUGAAAUGCAUAGAUAUGACCCAGAACGUCGAUUGCGAAGGCAGCUCACUAAGGUAUAACUGACGCUGAGGCACGAAAGUGUGGGUAUCAAACAGG